UACGUAGGGUGCAAGCGUUAUUCGGAAUUACUGGGCGUAAAGCGUGCGCAGGCGGUGAUGUAAGACCGAUGUGAAAUCCCCGGGCUUAACCUGGGAACUGCAUUGGUGACUGCAUCGCUCGAGUAUGGCAGAGGGGGGUGGAAUUCCCGGUGUAGUGGUGAAAUGCGUAGAGAUCGGGAGGAACACCUGUGGCGAAGGCGGCCCCCUGGGCCGGCCCUGACACUGAGACGCGAAGGCGUGGGGAGCGAACGGG
rnacentral:rRNA from 1 species